AUACAUUUUGGAAAAUGUGGUCCAUUACAGAUAAAACCCAGAUGUAUACAUGGCCUGGAUUUCCAUAUUAUGCUGCCCAGAAUAAAAGACGAUGCAGUCCAGAUAAAAACAUUAUGCAUCAGAUGAAGUCUUUGACUAUCUAGAAAGGGAUUUUGUAAGCUAGUACUGGACAUGAAGACAGUCACUUGGAAAUGAUGAUUGUGCAACAGCGGUUAAACAUAUGCAAUACAUCAUAUGGUGACCAGACAGGGAGGAAAC